UCGGGCAGCAGGCCUUCCUUCCCCACCCCCUCUCGUGACUCAGGCGCUCAUUUCGACAGAAGUUGUAAGGGUGGUGAGGACAGCGGCCGCCAGGCCCGUUCCCAGCGCCUCCCGAGAGCGGACCCGUGGUGCUGGGGCUUCCCCGGCCUCCCCAAGAAGCCGAGCUCCGGGAACCCUGGGUUUUAAAAUGGGCUCCAAAGCGGCGCGCUCUGUCGUCCCGGAGGACUCUCCUAACCAAAGGUCGUGUGCAGCCCCGCCAGGAUUCACAUGGUCACGCAGCCGAGCGCCGGGCGGCUCCAGGGGAAGACGCGUGGGGACCCGGCGGCCAGUAGGCUUCGUGCCGCGUGCAGUCCCCCACCCCUACCCCCGGGGUGAACCAAGUAGCUCAGAGAGAGAAGCUGUUUAGAACUUCUUGAAUAACAUAGAGCACCUGGAGCGAGCCCCGCAGCAAUUUGGGAGAUGAGUGUUUCCAAACUGAACCCGCUUACUGGGAGGAGCAACUCAGCUCAGAGCGAAGCGGGCGGCCCCUUCUCCAAACAGAAGAGAGCCUUUUUAGAAAGGGGGUGGGGAGGUUAGGAAGGAAGCAAAGAAAGAAUAAAUAAAAGAAGCACUAUUAAAGAGCAGAGAGGAAGUUAAAGAGAGAAGGGGUUUUCUCUUUCCUUUCUUUUCCUAAUGACUUGGGCCCCCAGAAUCUCGCUGGAAAGUCACGCAGAGUGCACAGGCGCGUGCCCAAUUGUCAGUAACUCCUGCAAAAACCCAUGCUCGUCUCUUCGCUCCACUCUUAGGCACAGCCAAAAUUGAUCACAAAAACGGGGAAAGUGGGACACGGGCUUCGAAAGAGGGGAAUGAAAGAACGGAGCGUCCACAUCCUCCCUCUCCAUCUUCUCCCCUACAUUCUUCGGGCGAAUCCGAGAGGCGGGCGCUGCGCUGGGGAAAGUUUGUCCCACCCGCAUGUCGCAGCUGGCUGCGAGGAGAGGAAGGAGGAGCGGGAAGGUAGAGCUCGGAGCCUGCCGCAGCAAGGAUAACUGAGCCAGCGCCGCGCUUACCUCGCAGUCCUCGUACUUGAUAUUAUCCGUCAGUUUCCAAAGCAUUUUCAUGGAUCGGCGUGAACGGAUUUGCCCCCUCUCCGCCUCGCACCCAAGUGGAGCUACUCUCUGGCUCUUUACCAACCGCUUAAUCGCCUCAUUAGCAUAUCAACAAUAGUCCAAUUGCUCGCCAGCACCACAAUCUGCCGCCGGCCGCUCCGACCCAGGUAUAAAGGCCUCUCCGAGCCGCGAACUUGCUCCUAGCGCGCUCGCCCGCCUGUGAGCCGACGAAAUCUCCCCUGAGCCCCGCCGCGCCCCUGCCCCAGCACCCCCCGCCCCAUUCCACCUCAUUCAGCUUCCUCUCCAUCUUCUCCUCGCGGGAGAUGUCCUCCGCAAAAGCUGCGCAGGGUCCGAGCGGCCACUUCUGGGGCCCGGCUGCCAGCACCUCUCCCCCACCCCUGCCGCCACUAACGGCGCUGUCCUUUCGGCCCUGUCCAAUUUUAUUAGAAAUUAUUAGCCUUUUCGCAAUUAAACAUAACCACCAAACCAAGACCGGCGAAGUCACUCCAGGAUUUUUGCCCAACAAGAGAUCGCCUCUGCUCGCGGCAGCCGCCACCUCCGGCCGCAGCGCCUCGAGAGUUUUAUUGGCUUUGCGCUUUCCCCCCAGGUGGGAGAUUUUGCCAAAUGGCUCCGGUUGCUCGGCUGGGGUUUGCGAUCCUUUAAUUGCCGCGUGUAAAAUAAAAAUUGUACCCUGAAGAGGUUACUUGACAGCUCCAGGGGUUAAAUGAUUUUCCUCUCGUUUGUAUGAAACUAGGGCCGACUGAUAAUUCAACGUGGCGUCUGGGCUAAGGGUUUCCUAGGUGCGGUGUGGACAAGAAUACAGAACUCCUAUGGAGACUCACUGUCGCUUCUGGAGUGGAGCCGAAAUACCGACAUGUGUGCGCCGUGUCAUGCAUGCAUCAAAAUAAAUUGCUGGGAACCAACUCUUCGCUGUGCUAAUCUGCUCCAGUUUUCCCAAGAUCCCCCUUUUUAAUUAAAGCAGGAGAGUUCCUUCA